rnacentral:rRNA from 1 species
AAAGAUUACUAAAUACUAUUACCCGAAUAAAAAAGAUCUGAAUUUAUAUUUACUAUAGGUAGUACUAUCUCAUGUUGUAUAAUUAGGUUAAUAAAUAAAUUCAGGGGUGAAACACUUUCAAUUUUUUAGAUAGCUGGAAUAUUUUUACAUGAAUUAAGUUCAUAAAUUAAUCAAUAAGUUAUAAGAUUUAUUGAAUAUUAGAAAACUAAACCCUACAUAUAUGAGAAGUAUAACUUCAAUACUGUAUAUCAAAUUUUUAUUCUUAUUUAUAUUUUUCUAUAUACUAAAAAUACAAUUUUUAUAUUUAUAAUUACUGAAAUUAUACACUGUUCAAAUUAGUAAAAAUAUAAAAUUUAUAGUAAGGAACUCGGCAAAUUUACUCUUCAACUGUUUAACAAAAACAUAGCUUUUAGAUAUAUAUUAAAAGUAAUUACUGCCCAGUGAGAUGAUUUUAACGGCCGCAGUACCUUGACUGUGCUAAGGUAGCAUAAUAAAUUGGCUUUUAAAUGAAGUCGGGUAUGAAAGGAAAUAUGAGGAAUAGCUGUCUCCAAGUAAUUGUUUUAAAUUUACUAAAAAGGUGAAAAUUCCUUUAUUAAAUAGGAUAGACGAGAAGACCCUUAGAAUUAUAAUGAAAACAAAGUAUUAUUAUAUAACUUUAUAAAUUUUUGUUGGGGCAACAAAGUUGGAGAACCAACUCAAUUAUAUAUAAUUACAUACACUUAUUAUAGUAAUUGUAUUAAUUACCUUAGGGAUAACAGCAUAAUUAUUUUAUUAGAUUGUGACCUCGAUGUUGGACUAAGGACUUUAUUAAAUAGCCUUUAAUAAAGAUGGUUCUGUUCGAACUAUGCCUACCUUA